UGUACCUACGGGAGGCAGCAGUGAGGAAUAUUGGUCAAUGGGCUUACGCCUGAACCAGCCAAGUCGCGUGAGGGAAGACUGCCCUAUGGGUUGUAAACCUCUUUUGUCAGGGAGCAACGCCGGCUACGUGUAGCCGGACUGAGAGUACCUGAAGAAAAAGCACCGGCUAACUCCGUGCCAGCAGCCGCGGUAAUACGGAGGAUGCGAGCGUUAUCCGGAUUUAUUGGGUUUAAAGGGUGCGUAGGCGGAAUGCCAAGUCAGCAGUAAAAUCUCGGGGCCCUACCUCGCUCCGCCGUUGAAACUGG
rnacentral:rRNA from 1 species